ACACUGCCAAAGAGAACGCCAUG
rnacentral:piRNA from 1 species